rnacentral:rRNA from 1 species
GACGAACGCUGGCGGCGUGCCUAAUACAUGCAAGUCGAGCGGACGGAUGGGAGCUUGCUCCCAGACCGUCAGCGGCGGACGGGUGAGUAACACGUGGGCAACCUGCCUGUAAGACUGGGAUAACUCCGGGAAACCGGGGCUAAUACCGGAUAACUCUUUCCCUCACAUGAGGGAAAGCUGAAAGAUGGCAUCUCGCUAUCACUUACAGAUGGGCCCGCGGCGCAUUAGCUAGUUGGUGAGGUAACGGCUCACCAAGGCGACGAUGCGUAGCCGACCUGAGAGGGUGAUCGGCCACACUGGGACUGAGACACGGCCCAGACUCCUACGGGAGGCAGCAGUAGGGAAUCUUCCGCAAUGGACGAAAGUCUGACGGAGCAACGCCGCGUGAGUGAUGAAGGUUUUCGGAUCGUAAAACUCUGUUGUCAGGGAAGAACAAGUACCGGAGUAACUGCCGGUACCUUGACGGUACCUGACCAGAAGGCCACGGCUAACUACGUG